rnacentral:rRNA from 1 species
GACGGAGGGUGCAAGCGUUAUCCGGAUUCAUUGGGCUUAAAGGGUACGUAGGCGGCUUGGUAAGUCAGUGGUGAAAACUAGCAGCUCAACUGUUAGCGUGCCAUUGAUACUGCUAGGCUCGAGUAUAGUCGAGGUGGGUGGAAUUCUACAUGUAGCGGUGAAAUGCAUAGAUAUGUAGAGGAACACCGAUAACGAAGGUAACUCACUAGGCUAUUACUGACGCUGAGGUACGAAAGCGUGGGGAGCAAACAGG